rnacentral:rRNA from 1 species
GCACAAGCGGUGGAGCAUGUGGUUUAAUUCGACGCAACGCGAAGAACCUUACCUGGGCUCGAAAUGCUAUGGACCGGGGUAGAAAUAUCCCUUCCCCGCAAGGGGCCGUAGUAUAGGUGCUGCAUGGCUGUCGUCAGCUCGUGUCGUGAGAUGUUGGGUUAAGUCCCGCAACGAGCGCAACCCUUAUCUUCAGUUGCUACCAUUUAGUUGAGCACUCUGACGAAACCGCCUCGGAUAACGGGGAGGAAGGUGGGGAUGACGUCAAGUCCUCAUGGCCUUUAUGUCCAGGGCUACACACGUGCUACAAUGGUCGGUACAAACCGUCGCAAACCCGUGAGGGGGAGCUAAUCGGAAAAAGCCGGCCUCAGUUCGGAUUGUAGUCUGCAACUCGACUACAUGAAGCUGGAAUCGCUAGUAAUCGCGGAUCAGAACGCCGCGGUGAAUACGUUCCCGGGC